rnacentral:lncRNA from 1 species
AUGGCCUGCCAAAACUGCAACACAGCUGCCACCAGCAUUGCUGCCCAUAAAGGAGCAGAGUGCAGCAGUGGGUACGGCAGGAUACAGCAAGAGCUGAAGACCCUUGUGAUCUCUGGCAACAAAGGAAUUUCUGCCUUACCUGCAUCAGACAACCUUUUGAAAUCAGUAGGACCAUCCCUGAAGCAGCUGGCACAGAAGACCUGAGAUGUAAGGUUUCCCUGGAGUUCCCCAGUGGCUACCCAUACAACAUGCCCUUGGUUAAGUUCCUCACGCCCUGCUACUAUCUCAACGUGGACGCCCAGUGUUAACACCUGUCUGGACAUCCUGAAGGACGAGUGGUCUGCCCUGUAUGAUGUCAAGAACACCCUGCACUCCAUCCACAGCCUGCUAGUAGAACUCAACAUCAAUAGCCUUUUGAACACACAUGCUGCUGAGCUCUAGAAAAACUCCACAGCUUUUAAGAAAUAUCUGCAAGAAAUCUACUCAAAGCACGUCUCCAGGAAGGAGCCC